rnacentral:rRNA from 1 species
ACCCGCUGAACUUAAGCAUAUCAAUAAGCGGAGGAAAAGAAACCAACAGGGAUUGCCCUAGUAACGGCGAGUGAAGCGGCAACAGCUCAAAUUUGAAAUCUGGCGUCUUUGGCGUCCGAGUUGUAAUUUGCAGAGGGCGCUUUGGCAUUGGCAGCGGUCCAAGUUCCUUGGAACAGGACGUCACAGAGGGUGAGAAUCCCGUACGUGGUCGCUAGCCUUUACCGUGUAAAGCCCCUUCGACGAGUCGAGUUGUUUGGGAAUGCAGCUCUAAAUGGGAGGUAAAUUUCUUCUAAAGCUAAAUACUGGCCAGAGACCGAUAGCGCACAAGUAGAGUGAUCGAAAGAUGAAAAGCACUUUGGAAAGAGAGUUAAAAAGCACGUGAAAUUGUUGAAAGGGAAGCGCUUGCAGCCAGACUUGCCUGUAGUUGCUCAUCCGGGUCUUUACCCGGUGCACUCUUCUAUAGGCAGGCCAGCAUCAGUUUGGGCGGUUGGAUAAAGGUCUCUGUCAUGUACCUCUCUUCGGGGAGAACUUAUAGGGGAGACGACAUGCAACCAGCCCGGACUGAGGUCCGCGCAUCUGCUAGGAUGCUGGCGUAAUGGCUGU